rnacentral:rRNA from 1 species
AAAACGGAGAGUUUGAUCCUGGCUCAGGAUGAACGCUGGCGGUAUGCUUAACACAUGCAAGUCGAACGGUGUCUUCGGACACAGUGGCGGACGGGUGAGUAACGCGUGAGAAUCUGGCUCUAGGUCUGGGACAACCACUGGAAACGGUGGCUAAUACCGGAUGUGCCGAGAGGUGAAAGGUUAACUGCCUAGAGAUGAGCUCGCGUCUGAUUAGCUAGUUGGAAGUGUAAUGGACUCCCAAGGCGACGAUCAGUAGCUGGUCUGAGAGGACGAUCAGCCACACUGGGACUGAGACACGGCCCAGACUCCUACGGGAGGCAGCAGUGGGGAAUUUUCCGCAAUGGGCGAAAGCCUGACGGAGCAAUACCGCGUGAGGGAGGAAGGCUCUUGGGUCGUAAACCUCUUUUCUCAGGGAAGAACACAAUGACGGUACCUGAGGAAUAAGCAUCGGCUAACUCCGUGCCAGCAGCCGCGGUAAUACGGAGGAUGCAAGCGUUAUCCGGAAUGAUUGGGCGUAAAGCGUCCGCAGGUGGCAAUGUAAGUCUGCUGUUAAAGAGUCUAGCUCAACUAGAUAAAAGCAGUGGAAACUACAUAGCUAGAGUACGUUCGGGGCAGAGGGAAUUCCUGGUGUAGCGGUGAAAUGCGUAGAGAUCAGGAAGAACACCGGUGGCGAAGGCGCUCUGCUAGGCCGUAACUGACACUGAGGGACGAAAGCUAGGGGAGCGAAUGGGAUUAGAUACCCCAGUAGUCCUAGCCGUAAACGAUGGAUACUAGGCGUGGCUUGUAUCGACCCGAGCCGUGCCGUAGCUAACGCGUUAAGUAUCCCGCCUGGGGAGUACGCCGGCAACGGUGAAACUCAAAGGAAUUGACGGGGGCCCGCACAAGCGGUGGAGUAUGUGGUUUAAUUCGAUGCAACGCGAAGAACCUUACCAAGGCUUGACAUGUCGCGAAUCUUCUUGAAAGGGAAGAGUGCCUUCGGGAGCGCGAACACAGGUGGUGCAUGGCUGUCGUCAGCUCGUGUCGUGAGAUGUUGGGUUAAGUCCCGCAACGAGCGCAACCCUCGUUUUUAGUUGCCAGCAUUAAGUUGGGCACUCUAGAGAGACUGCCGGUGACAAACCGGAGGAAGGUGGGGAUGACGUCAAGUCAGCAUGCCCCUUACGCCUUGGGCUACACACGUACUACAAUGCUCCGGACAGAGGGCAGCAAGCAUGCGAAUGCAAGCAAAUCCCGUAAACCGGAGCUCAGUUCAGAUCGCAGGCUGCAACUCGCCUGCGUGAAGGAGGAAUCGCUAGUAAUUGCAGGUCAGCAUACUGCAGUGAAUUCGUUCCCGGGCCUUGUACACACCGCCCGUCACACCAUGGAAGCUGGUAGUGCCCGAAGUCAUUACUCCAACCUUUCGGGGAGGAGGAUGCCUAAGGCAGGACUGGUGACUGGGGUGAAGUCGUAACAAGGUAGCCGUACCGGAAGGUGUGGCUGGAUCACCUCCUUU